rnacentral:rRNA from 1 species
UACGGAGGGGGGCUAGCGUUGUUCGGAAUUACUGGGCGUAAAGCGCACGUAGGCGGCUUUGUAAGUUAGAGGUGAAAGCCCGGGGCUCAACUCCGGAAUUGCCUUUAAGACUGCAUCGCUAGAAUUGUGGAGAGGUAAGUGGAAUUCCGAGUGUAGAGGUGAAAUUCGUAGAUAUUCGGAAGAACACCAGUGGCGAAGGCGACUUACUGGACACAUAUUAACGCUGAGGUGCGAAAGCGUGGGGAGCAAACAGG